rnacentral:tRNA from 1 species
GCCGGGGUAGCUCAGUGGCAGAGCAACGCUUUCGUAAAGCGUGGGCCGGGAGUCCGAUUCUCCCCCCCGGCU